GGGGCCGUAGGCUAGCUUGGUCUAGACUGCGAGGCUCGGGCCCUCGUGACCCCGGUUCAAAAGGAAGGCUUACCCUGAAACUCCGGGCGGCCCCA
rnacentral:tRNA from 1 species